UUUCAAGCCUUUACCUGCAUUCCAGAGUGAAGUCAAAUGUCAAACUUUCCCCCUUUAUCUUUUCUCCUUGACUCAAGAGAAGAUCUCUAUCUUUAGAGAAUGAAACAACUGUUUUCCUUAAAAUGUUUCAAUAGGCCAUGGUUUUGUAAAACAAGCCACUUCUCUGGCAGGUGCUUUGAUUUCAGAGAAUUAAAGUAAUUGCCACAAAAGGCCUGACAAACCCCACAGCUUCUGGAGUAAAAGGAGAAGGAGCUGCACGGAUGUACACAGCAUGUCUGGGCAGGAGGAAAAGGGGGACAGUGAGGGGGGCCUGGUAUUGACUUCUUUAAUUUACUGUCUAUUUUUUUGUUCAAUCCAUUUUGGUCCCAAGAGGAUAUCAAGUUGCUCCUCCUCAGGGACAAGAAGUGAGUGUACAACAGUGAGCCUGAUUUGGGUGCCAGGCUCAGGAAUGAUCAUAGGCAGAAGCUGCUAAACUGGAGAGCAAGGCCAAAGCUCAAGGGGAAGGAAAGACAGGCUGCCCAGGUGCUGCCCUGUUCCUCUGCCCUUCUGUUCAGCCAAGGACAAGCUGCCUCUCACCUGUCUUGCAUCUCCUUUCAGGUAAGAAAAUGCCUUUUUUGUCCUUAAAACUGGGUCAUUAUUUACCUGCAGGCAGAUAGUCCAUAUUUUUUCGGAAUUAGGAAGACUUUUUUCCCCCUGCAGGUCCAGCCCCUGUAUUUGUGACUACAAGUAACAAAAGAGAAUGGCAGGCACAGAGAAUAAGUUUCCACUACUCAAGUAGCAGCCAGGAAGAGGUUGAGAAAAUAUUUUGAUGCCUAUAAAAUCAUCUGAAAAAAAGCAUUUCAGUGAUAUAAAGGGCCUUUCCUUCUCUUCCUGUUUUACACCUUAGAAUAUAUUCUUAACCAGUUUUUCUUCUGAGUUCAUAUUUAAGUUACUUGCUGCUCUAUGGAAAGCUUCACUAGUGCUAAACCUGGGCCAGUCUUCCUUCUGGAUGUGAAGGUGCCAGGAAAUCACACAACAAAGCCAAGUGCCAGCCUCCUGGAGAGGGAAAAGGAAAUAAUCAUUUUCUGUGUGUGCAAUUGUGGCUUCUGGGUGUAAAUCCUGAAUUCUCCCAUAAAAUUCUCUUGUAGGUGAGUUUUGAUUCUUAUGUUUCAGUUUCAAAAUCAAGUCAUGGGCUCCCACUCUCUCCUUUCCUGACAGUGUUCCUUGUAGCAGGAAUGUGCAGAACCCUCAUUUGCAGAUGCAUUUUCUUUCCAGCCAUCCUGCAGAAAAUAUUCUUGAAUAAGAAUUAAAUAUAUGAAGUACUCAAUGUAAACAUUUAGGAAGGCCAGACAUAAGCCAUACAGAGGUCCUAGCCAGUUUGAAGCCAAAACCACAGCCCAAAGCACAGUCUUGGCUCCAUGUCCUUGCACAGGUGGAAGGCUGGCUCUGAGCCUGCAGGAAUUGUCAGGGCUGUACCUUCAAAGACACUCCAA
rnacentral:lncRNA from 1 species